rnacentral:rRNA from 1 species
AUUAGAUACCCGUCUAUUCACGACAUAAACAAAAGUUGAAUAUUACGAACAAUAGUUUAAAAUUCAAAGAUUUUGGCGGUGUCUUAUAAAACCAGGGGAACCUGUCUCAUAACUCGAUAAUCCACGAAUAUACAACCUUCUCUCGAUUUACAGCAUGUGUACUGCCGUUGUAAGCAUACCUCUAAAAGAAAAGUAUGCCGCUAUGACUAAAUAAACUCAUAUACAUCAGGUCAAAGUGCAGCCAAUAAGAAGGUGAUGAUGGGUUACAACCCCAAAAUAGACUAUCAACUAAGAAAUAAAAAAUCUUACGAAAGUGGACUUGGCCGUAAUCAAUUUACAAGUUAAAAAAAUGAAUAAGAACCUAAGACAUGCACACAUCGCCCGUCACUCUAUCCUAAAGGUUAGAUAAGUCGUAAC